ACGUAGGGAGCAAGCGUUAUCAGGAUUUACUGGGUGUAAAGGGCGCGUAGGCGGGAAUGCAAGUCAGAUGUGAAAUUUGGGGGCUCAACCCCCAAAAUGAGUUUGAAACUGUAUUUUUUGAGUGAUGGAGAGGCAUGUGGAAUUCCGAGUGUAGCGGUAAAAUUCUUAGAAAUUAGGAGGAGCACCAGUGGCGAAGUCAACUUUCUGAACAUUAUCUGACUCUGAUGCGCGAAAGCUUUAGGAGCAAAGAU
rnacentral:rRNA from 1 species